rnacentral:rRNA from 1 species
GGCUCAGGAUGAACGCUGGCGGCGUGCUUAACACAUGCAAGUCGAACGAAGCAGUUUAUUACGAUCCCUUCGGGGUGACGAUUUACUGACUGAGUGGCGGACGGGUGAGUAACGCGUGGGUAACCUGCCUUGUACAGGGGGACAACAGUUGGAAACGACUGCUAAUACCGCAUAAGCGCACAGCUUCGCAUGAAGCAGUGUGAAAAGUAUUUUCGGUACAAGAUGGACCCGCGUCUGAUUAGCUAGUUGGUGAGGUAACGGCCCACCAAGGCGACGAUCAGUAGCCGACCUGAGAGGGUGACCGGCCACAUUGGGACUGAGACACGGCCCAAACUCCUACGGGAGGCAGCAGUGGGGAAUAUUGCACAAUGGGCGAAAGCCUGAUGCAGCGACGCCGCGUGAGCGAAGAAGUAUUUCGGUAUGUAAAGCUCUAUCAGCAGGGAAGAUAAUGACGGUACCUGACUAAGAAGCACCGGCUAAAUACGUGCCAGCAGCCGCGGUAAUACGUAUGGUGCAAGCGUUAUCCGGAUUUACUGGGUGUAAAGGGAGCGUAGGCGGUUUUACAAGUCUGAUGUGAAAGCCCGGGGCUCAACUCCGGUAUUGCAUUGGAAACUGUAGAACUAGAGUGUCGGAGGGGUAAGUGGAAUUCCUAGUGUAGCGGUGAAAUGCGUAGAUAUUAGGAGGAACACCAGUGGCGAAGGCGGCUUAC